UAACAUUUCCUUCGGGAAAGACUGAGGAAUCAGAUAGUGGCGGACGGGUGAGUAACACGUGAAUAACCUGUCCUUGAAUUGAGGAUAACUGGGCGAAAGUCGGGCUAAUCCUGAAUAAGCUGAGAGAGUGGCAUCACUCAAUCAGAAAAGAUGCGGUUCGCAUCGUUCAAGGAGGGAUUCGCGGUGGAUUAGCUGGCUGGUAAGGUAACGGCUUACCAGGGCAACAAUCCAUAGCUGGUCUGAGAGGACGAUCAGCCACACUGGAACUGAGACACGGUCCAGACUCCUACGGGAGGCAGCAGUGGGGAAUCUUCCACAAUGGGCGAAAGCCUGAUGGAGCAACGCCGCGUGARUGAAGAAGGYCUUAGGRUYGUAAAGYUCUGUCCUYAGGGAAGAACCGUGGGUAUAGCAAAUGAUACCCACCUGACGGUACCUUUGGAGGAAGCACUGGCUAACUACGUGCCAGCAGCCGCGGU
rnacentral:rRNA from 1 species